rnacentral:tRNA from 1 species
GGUGGCUCAGGGGUAGAGCGCUUGCCUUGCAUGCAUGAGGCCCUGGGUUUGAUUCCCCAGCACCA